ACUCAAAGGAAUUGACGGGGACCCGCACAAGCGGUGGAGCAUGUGGAUUAAUUCGAAGCAACGCGAAGAACCUUACCAAGGCUUGACAUCCCCCCGCAAGCUCCGGAAACGGGGCCGCCCCUCCGGGGGCGGGGGAGACAGGUGGUGCAUGGUUGUCGUCAGCUCGUGUCGUGAGAUGUUGGGUUAAGUCCCGCAACGAGCGCAACCCCUGCCGAAAGUAGCCAUCGGGCAAAGCCGGGCACUCUGUAGGGACUGCCGUGGACAACACGGAGGAAGGCGGGGACGACGUCAAAUCAUCAUGCCCCUUAUGCCUUGGGCGUCACACGUGCUACAAUGGCCCAAACAAAGCGAAGCGGAGCCGCGAGGCCGGGCAAAGCGCAAAAAAGGGUCCCAGUUCGGAUUGCAGCCUGCAACUCGGCUGCAUGAAGUUGGAAUCGCUAGUAAUCGCGGAUCAGCACGCCGCGGUGAAUACGUUCCCGGGUCUUGUACACACCGCCCGU
rnacentral:rRNA from 1 species